rnacentral:sRNA from 1 species
ACAGUACCUUUAAACACGCCCAACAAAGAAUGAAUCAGAGAUAUACAGAGAAGAAAAAAAACACAGGAAAGUAUAGUGAUUUGGAGCAAUUGAUUAUUCUAAUGAACAGUCUCAUAUGAGAGGCUCGUUACCUGCAGUUGACUGGCUUGAUUUAGAAAUUUCUGUGUGGUUUUCCGCGGGUUCGAAAUCCUGGUAAGAGAUUGUAAAUCCUUUCUUUGAUGUACUGCUAUCCGUUGUGAAUUUCACGUACAGUUCAGAUCCGGAGCCAUGGAUGUGUCCAAGCGUACCAUUGCAGCACGUAGACUUAAUGUAUAUGUAUUCUGUGGCAUUACCUGUGGUGUUCACUUAAGAAAACAUUGGGUUCAGUGUUUUGCAAAAUAGAUCAUGAAAAGCAUAAUUUCAUUACUUAGCAUAACAGGAAAGUGAAAAACAUUUUGUGACAAAUUAAAUUCGAUAGACACUCCAAAUGACUGUUAUUCUACAAGAUUGGCCACGAUUUUCCCGAAGCAACAAUGUCAAACACUGUCACAGAAAAAAACAACUUUACUAGCUACUAAGAUAAAGUGCAGUGCACAAAUAAAUGCACACCAAUUAAUUUCCCACAAACUUUAACAUGUAUCGUCAUUCCCUUAAACUUGUGUCUUUUUUCAUACUUCUUUUAAAAUACUAAAAACCUGAUAAAUUUUACUGGAUUUGAUAACAGCUCAUUAUUCUUUUUUUUUUUUUAAAGAUGAAAAGUACCAUUGUAGAAUGCCAAAAUAUCCCAAUCCCAACUACACAUGGUUUUGCCCUUUCUGGUGACAGACUCGAUGUCACAUUCCGCCAAAUUGGCUUGUAUGGUGUGGUUGUCCCCAUUGGUUCUGAUCAGCCAUUCUCCUGUGUAGUUACUACAACAUUUAAAACAACAGGAACUUGUAAGUAUUUUGUAUCUUUAGAUUUUUUUAAAAAGAUAACAAUAAUUCAUUGAACAAAUAAUCGGGUUAGUCGUACGUAACAAUCAUCAUUUUGACCUUAGUACGAAGCAGGUCGCCCAAUGAUAUUUUUUUUAACCAGUGUACUCUUUCAUCAAAUUAUCAAUGCAUAUGUAUUGUUAUUUUGAUUUCUUAGUAGAACUAAUUUCUCAUUUAUCUUUGCAUUCUGUAAAAAAAAUGGACAAGUUAUUUGAAAAAGUGAAUAGCUUGAAGUGAAGCGAAUAGUUGAGGUUAGUAAAUACCAAUGUUAAUGAUAAAGGCCAAAGGUUAAACUAGAUUCCUUUAGUGUUUUACAAUUAUAUUUUUUACAUCACCAAAAGAAAGACAACAUCAUUAUAAAACAAUGAAUUCUUACUUUGGGUAGUUUUGUGUCGUAUAAUUGAAGUGAGAGUGGAACUGUUUUGGAGUCUUUUCAGCAAUGAGAGUUGUAAGUUGUAUAGCCUCUGUAAAGGUUAAUGUUAUUUAUAGAUAUUAAUUUCAUAAUAAAUAACAUUUAAAUUAUGAAUUUUAAAACGACCGCUUUUGUACAUUUCAGAUAAAGAUAUGAUUUAAUGUAGUAAUAUAAGCUCUUUAUUAAAACCAUGCACAACUCC